rnacentral:rRNA from 1 species
GAUGAACGCUAGCGGCAGGCUUAACACAUGCAAGUCGAGGGGUAUAGGUUUUCGGACCUAGAGACCGGCGCACGGGUGCGUAACGCGUAUGCAAUCUACCUUUUACAGAGGGAUAGCCCAGAGAAAUUUGGAUUAAUACCUCAUAGUAUUAUUGAAUGGCAUCAUUUAAUAAUUAAAGUUCCAACGGUAAAAGAUGAGCAUGCGUCCCAUUAGCCAGAUGGCAAGGUAACGGCUUACCAUGGCGACGAUGGGUAGGGGUCCUGAGAGGGAGAUCCCCCACACUGGUACUGAGACACGGACCAGACUCCUACGGGAGGCAGCAGUGAGGAAUAUUGGUCAAUGGGCGCAAGCCUGAACCAGCCAUGCCGCGUGCAGGAUGGCGGUCCUAUGGAUUGUAAACUGCUUUUGUACAGGAAGAAACACUGGUUCGUGAACCAGCUUGACGGUACUGUAAGAAUAAGGAUCGGCUAACUCCGUGCCAGCCGCCGCCGUAACAC